UACGUAGGGUGCGAGCGUGUCCGGAAUUAUUGGGCGUAAAGAGCUUGUAGGCGGUUUGUCGCGUCUGCUGUGAAAUUUCGGGGCUCAACCCCGAACUUGCAGUGGGUACGGGCAGACUAGAGUGUGGUAGGGGAGACUGGAAUUCCUGGUGUAGCGGUGAAAUGCGCAGAUAUCAGGAGGAACACCGAUGCGAAGGCAGGUCUCUGGGCCACUACUGACGCUGAGAAGCGAAAGCAUGGGGAGCGAACAGG
rnacentral:rRNA from 1 species